UAUCUAGCUUGCUAGAUAUGAUUAGUGGCGGACGGGUGAGUAACAUUUAGGAAUCUGCCUAGUAGUGGGGGAUAGCUCGGGGAAACUCGAAUUAAUACCGCAUACGACCUACGAGUGAAAGGGGGCGCAAGCUCUUGCUAUUAGAUGAGCCUAAAUCAGAUUAGCUAGUUGGUGGGGUAAAGGCCCACCAAGGCGACGAUCUGUAACUGGUCUGAGAGGAUGAUCAGUCACACCGGAACUGAGACACGGUCCGGACUCCUACGGGAGGCAGCAGUGGGGAAUAUUGGACAAUGGGGGCAACCCUGAUCCAGCCAUGCCGCGUGUGUGAAGAAGGCCUUUUGGUUGUAAAGCACUUUAAGCAGGGAGGAGAGGCUAAUGGUUAAUACCCAUUAGAUUAGACGUUACCUGCAGAAUAAGCACCGGCUAACUCUGUGCCAGCAGCCGCGGUAAUACAGAGGGUGCGAGCGUUAAUCGGAAUUACUGGGCGUAAAGCGAGUGUAGGUGGCUCAUUAAGUCACAUGUGAAAUCCCCGGGCUUAACCUGGGAACUGCAUGUGAUACUGGUGGUGCUAGAAUAUGUGAGAGGGAAGUAGAAUUCCAGGUGUAGCGGUGAAAUGCGUAGAGAUCUGGAGGAAUACCGAUGGCGAAGGCAGCUUCCUGGCAUAAUAUUGACACUGAGAUUCGAAAGCGUGGGUAGCAAACAGGAUUAGAUACCCUGGUAGUCCACGCCGUAAACGAUGUCUACUAGCCGUUGGGGUCCUUGAGACUUUAGUGGCGCAGUU
rnacentral:rRNA from 1 species